UGGUGGAGUGAUUUGUCUGCUUAAUUGCGAUAACGAACGAGACCUUAACCUGCUAAAUAGCCCGGCCAGCUUUGGCUGGCCGCCGGCUUCUUAGAGGGACUAUCGGCUCAAGCCGAUGGAAGUUUGAGGCAAUAACA
rnacentral:rRNA from 1 species